CCCUUCCCGAGUUGCUAGCAGAGGGCUAGGCCUGGGCGGGAGCUCCCACUUCCGGCAAGGGCAAGAGGUUCCCCGUCGGGAGCCGGUGGAGCCGGAGUGACAUCACUGAGCAGAGAUGGGAGCAAGCAGAAAUGGGGGUCACCAGAUGAGGUGCAGGGAGAGGCGGGGCUCCGGGAGGGCAGGGACUGCCGUGGGGAAAGUCUUUGCCUGCUUAGUUUAGGCUUCCUUCCUGUCCCCUAGAUCUCUCUCUCCCAGGUGGAAACUGGCUUAACUCUGUUUCCCCCACGCGCACACCCUGAAGGCUUCAUGAGAGGUGGUGAAAGCAGACGGGUCAGGGCCGCCGCUCACACCUUUCCAGCUGCUCCUGCCGAGUCCCCAGAAAGUUCGGAGAUGAUGACAACAGCAGCAUUCCAGCCACAGCAUUCUGUUGGCUUUACAUCGGAUUCUGAGCCACGUGAACCAGAGCAGCUCUUUUCUGUGUAUCCAGCUCCAAAGAAUGCAGCGCUCUCCGCUCCCAGCUUCCAAGGAAGCAGGUCUGCUGUCGGUUCCUGUUUUGCACUCAGCAUGCGAUGUUCCUAAGCAGGGGCUUAAACCAUUCCGAGGGGACAGUUCUUCUUGCUCCUUGAGGGGGAAGAUGUUUUUGAAUUAAAGAUGGAU
rnacentral:lncRNA from 1 species